GAGAGUUUGAUCCUGGCUCAGGAUGAACGCUAGCUACAGGCUUAACACAUGCAAGUCGAGGGGCAGCAUGGUCUUAGCUUGCUAAGGCCGAUGGCGACCGGCGCACGGGUGAGUAACACGUAUCCAACCUGCCGUCUACUCUUGGACAGCCUUCUGAAAGGAAGAUUAAUACAAGAUGGCAUCAUGAGUCCGCAUGUUCACAUGAUUAAAGGUAUUCCGGUAGACGAUGGGGAUGCGUUCCAUUAGAUAGUAGGCGGGGUAACGGCCCACCUAGUCUUCGAUGGAUAGGGGUUCUGAGAGGAAGGUCCCCCACAUUGGAACUGAGACACGGUCCAAACUCCUACGGGAGGCAGCAGUGAGGAAUAUUGGUCAAUGGGCGAGAGCCUGAACCAGCCAAGUAGCGUGAAGGAUGACUGCCCUAUGGGUUGUAACCUUCUUUUAUAAAGGAAUAAAGUCGGGUAUGGAUACCCGUUUGCAUGUACUUUAUGAAUAAGGAUCGGCUAACUCCGUGCCAGCAGCCGCGGUAAUACGGAGGAUCCGAGCGUUAUCCGGAUUUAUUGGGUUUAAAGGGAGCGUAGAUGGAUGUUUAAGUCAGUUGUGAAAGUUUGCGGCUCAACCGUAAAAUUGCAGUUGAUACUGGAUAUCUUGAGUGCAGUUGAGGCAGGCGGAAUUCGUGGUGUAGCGGUGAAAUGCUUAGAUAUCACGAAGAACUCCGAUUGCGAAGGCAGCCUGCUAAGCUGCAACUGACAUUGAGGCUCGAAAGUGUGGGUAUCAAACAGGAUUAGAUACCCUGGUAGUCCACACGGUAAACGAUGAAUACUCGCUGUUUGCGAUAUACUGCAAGCGGCCAAGCGAAAGCGUUAAGUAUUCCACCUGGGGAGUACGCCGGCAACGGUGAAACUCAAAGGAAUUGACGGGGGCCCGCACAAGCGGAGGAACAUGUGGUUUAAUUCGAUGAUACGCGAGGAACCUUACCCGGGCUUAAAUUGCAGAUGAAUUACGGUGAAAGCCGUAAGCCGCAAGGCAUCUGUGAAGGUGCUGCAUGGUUGUCGUCAGCUCGUGCCGUGAGGUGUCGGCUUAAGUGCCAUAACGAGCGCAACCCUUGUUGUCAGUUACUAACAGGUUCCGCUGAGGACUCUGACAAGACUGCCAUCGUAAGAUGUGAGGAAGGUGGGGAUGACGUCAAAUCAGCACGGCCCUUACGUCCGGGGCUACACACGUGUUACAAUGGGGGGUACAGAGGGCCGCUACCACGCGAGUGGAUGCCAAUCCCCAAAACCUCUCUCAGUUCGGACUGGAGUCUGCAACCCGACUCCACGAAGCUGGAUUCGCUAGUAAUCGCGCAUCAGCCACGGCGCGGUGAAUACGUUCCCGGGCCUUGUACACACCGCCCGUCAAGCCAUGGGAACCGGGGGUACCUGAAGUGCGUAACCGCGAGGAGCGCCCUAGGGUAAAACUGGUGACUGGGGCUAAGUCGUAACAAGGUAGCCG
rnacentral:rRNA from 1 species